UACGUAGGGACCAAGCGUUGUCCGGAAUCAUUGGGCGUAAAGAGCGUGUAGGCGGCUUGUUAAGUCUUGCGUGAAAUCUCGGGGCUCAACCCCGAGCGGUCGUGAGAAACUGGCAGGCUAGAGUGCGGGAGAGGAGAGUGGAAUUCCUGGUGUAGCGGUGAAAUGCGUAGAUAUCAGGAGGAACACCGGCGGUGUAGACGGCUUUCUGGACCGUAGCUGACGCUGAGACACGAAAGCGUGGGUAGCAAACAGG
rnacentral:rRNA from 1 species